rnacentral:lncRNA from 7 species
AUCCACCACCUCCUUCUUCGCGGUGACAGAUCACAGCUAUAGAUCCUCCCGUGAUCGCGGAGCGCAGUGAGCUGCGCGCCCGGCUCCGCUCCUCGCAGUCUCCCGGAUACCGCGGCUGCGGCAGAGGGACCUGAUGGAAGAGGUGGCGGCCGCUCAGUCCUUCCAGUAUCUUCCCCACUUUUGGUAGUCACUGAACUGGAAAUGAAUUACUCACAUAAAUCCAGCCACCAGUUUCCUGAGGCAUGUACACACAGCAGCUUUGGAUAUGACCUGGGGCAAGAAGUAAGAACACUGGAUUUGCCUUGGUGUUCCUAAGACUGAGGUACUUCUAUGACUGAACACAGGAAUACCUUUGUUGAAAUUACAGAAAUACUGAUUUUCUUCUACUGAGACUACAGACAUAUCUGAUUCCUCUAAUGUAGGAUUAGAGAUCAUGGAAUAUUUUUUCUCAUCACUGAAUUAUUCCAAUGUCCUGGUAACAUUAAUACUAUUCACUAGUUCAGUUAUGCAAAACAACGUGUCUUAUCUGAAAUAUAUAACUUCCACCAGCACAAUGGCCCCGAUGCUACGCCAGGUUAUUAAUUCAGCUCUGAGUAAGAGACUUCUCUGCUAGCUCUACUGCUGAUGUCUACAGAAUCAUAAAUAUUGGGUAUCUUUCUAACAGGUGAACAUAACUGCAUAUAAAGUACAGAACAGGAGUUUAACAACUUGCAAAGAAAUACUUCAGCGUAUUAAGCGUAUUAAGGUCAUACAAUCAAAUGAAAACAAGUACAGUUUAAUCAUGCAGUUAGUUUGAAAAAAAUUUCCAUUGUCCAUGGCAUCAGUGCAGGAUACUUCUUUGCCAUAUCAGAGAAAUGUUUAGCUCUCUAUUAACACAGUGCUUAGGAAUGCAAACAACUUCACACCUAUAUUUGAAAUAUGAAGAAAGUUGUAUGAAAUAGAAGAUAUCUUUUAUGGUAUGCAAACAGCAAAUUAAACAAUGCAAAGUGUUUUCUUUCCUAAUAUUUAACCAUUUCUGUUAAUUCUGACUUUCCCAGAAUCAGUCUUUAACCAUCUACCACACAAAUAAUCCCUUUGACCAGGGUUUAGAUUAUUAGAAGAUUGAGACAGACUAGAAAAAAUGAUUUUCAGACUGCUAAGGUUUCUGGAUUACUUCACCCUGGAAAGUCCAUUUUAUCACUUCUCUCACUGUCAUUUUGCAACCUCAGUCAAACAAAAUAAUUUCUGUAAGCUGAAUUUAUAUGGCAGUCUUCUUCAUCCUCCUCUCAUUGCUGUAGCUGCUGGUCCUGCACAGGCCUGCUGAGUUGUUGUGGUUUCUCUACCCUACUGUGGUUUUUAUGUAUUUAAACAUGCUGGUUUCUUGUAUUAUUAAAGUCUCUCAUUGGG